rnacentral:rRNA from 1 species
AUUGAACGCUGGCGGCAGGCCUAACACAUGCAAGUCGAACGAGUGGCGGACGGGUGAGUAAUGUCUGGGAAACUGCCUGAUGGAGGGGGAUAACUACUGGAAACGGUAGCUAAUACCGCAUACCAUCGGAUGUGCCCAGAUGGGAUUAGCUAGUAGGUGGGGUAAAGGCUCACCUAGGCAACGAUCCCUAGCUGGUCUGAGGGGAUGACCAGCCACACUGGAACGGAGACAGGGUCCAGACUCCUACGGGAGGCGGCAGUGGGGAAUAUUGAACAAUGGGCGCAAGCCUGAUGCAGCCAUGCCGCGUGUAUAAAGGAGGCCUUCGGGUUGUAAAGUACUUUCAGCGGGGAGGCGUUACCCACCGAAGAAGCACCGGCUAACUCCGUGCCAGCAGCCGGGGUAAUC